rnacentral:rRNA from 1 species
GACAGAAGGUGCAAGCGUUACUCGGAAUUACUGGGCGUAAAGCGUCUGUAGGUGUCUUGUCACGUCUGGCGUAAAAUUUCAGUGCUCAACACUGAAUGCGUGCCGGAAACGAGCGAGAUCGAGUCAUUCAGAGGCAUCUGGAAUGUCGUGUGUAGGGGUAAAAUCCGUAGAUACACGAUGGAACGCCAAAAGCGAAGGCAGGAUGCUGGGAAUGUACUGACACUCAGAGACGAAAGCGUGGGGAGCAAAGGGG